UAAAGGUUCAACAGGGGGUUUUUCCCAGUGAUGCAACAAAAUGUUUCUCGUUGUAUUUCUUGUGCACAAGGCACAUAUGUGGAGUUGAUAUACGAAAACCCAUUACACUGUUAAUUGAUUUUGACAUUUCAGAUGUUUUUCUUGACUUAAUGAUCUUCUUUACCAUUGUGUCCUUCAAGUAACGGCUUAAACAUCUAACACGCUUUGAGAGGAACGGAGCUUCACUACAGGGAUUUACUUCAAGAGACCCGAAGAGCUUGAGGAGCUCUGAAGACAUUCAUUUUGGAACCGACUGGAAAUUGGUCUCAAACCCUUGGACUUUAUCUAAUACGAAUUUGUUCAACGGAAGUUUUAACUCCUCCUUAGCAGACAUUUUUUAUCAGCGUAUAUUGACUUUGCACAAUGGCGUCUUGCUGAAGCUCUGCAGGAACAGAAAACAUUAAAAGAAGCACAAACAAAGAUCCAAAGCGGUCAAGAGACGGGCAUGUUGGACAACUCAAAGUUUUACAUCGAGCUGGGUGUCGCCAAGCUCGGGAAUGUCCCCGAACCCCUGAAACCACGUACGUCAUUGAGGAUCGAGGGCCAUCUUAGCGAAUCCCUCAGUGGCAGCACUCCCAAUCCUGAUGAGGAACCCAAUAAUCGUACCAUAAAUGGACUUAGCAAUGGCACUUCUUCUCAGAACAUCCCACACUGGACUCAACCUGAUGCCAUUGACAGGAGACGCAGUUUGGCGACGCUAUCUGAGACCUCGAGAACUUCCACUGCUGCCACUGAGGUUUCUCAAAGCUCUCGCAGCAGGUUCAUAGGGGAUGAUGAACCGCACGAAUCCCGCUGGAGGUCCGGCCGAGGCGCGUGUUGCUGUUUCCGUGCGGUGAACAUGGCGUUCCUGCGCUGUCUGGAGGAGACACCACUGCUGGUCUCUGGAUUACUGCUGGCCAUCCUCUUCUGCGUGACCAUCAUCGUCAUCAUCCCCUCCACUGGCAGGAGUCUGAGCGUUCACGUGGCGGCAUUUGCAGUGGUGUGUGCGGUGGUGUGUGUUUGCGUGCCUCUGCUGCUGUGUUUGCCGUGUUUGCCGGUGGUUCGGCGAGGAAAAACGCCUCUCGCACUCUUCAUCUGGUCCAUGCUCCUCACCAUCGCCUUUGUCUUCAUCUUCACCGGAGGCGUCGUCACGGCCUGGGAGCAGGUCAGCUGAUGAUGCUCAUUAGAUCAGAUGAUCACCACUAGUUUAGAUGUACACUUGAUUUAAGACCUAGUGCUUACUAUUUUUUCAUCAGAAGCAUGCUUUCUGCAAAUACUCAGAUCCUGAAGAUAAAUGUAAUAACCUCAUUUUCAGUAUUUUAGUUGUGUUUUCUAGACUUGGAAAAGUCAUGUAAAUUUUAAAUGUAAUCUAAAAGAUAUAAAAAAGAUAUACAUUUUUCUGGUUAUGCAAAGCUACAAAAUGUUUUCAGUAAAAAUUGCUAGUAAAAAAUAUUUGUAAACAUCGUUAAUCCUCAUUCAGGAAAUCAGGACACUCACAGAGAAUCAUGCAAAUUCAUUGGUUAAAAAAAGCACAGGGUUCCUGAAGAAGCAUGAAACUUCUGCAAUUUACGAAUUUUAAUCUUUGUCAGGUCGGGUUCUUCCUCUUUCUGUCGCU
ensembl:lncRNA